rnacentral:rRNA from 1 species
GACGAACGCUGGCGGCGUGCCUAACACAUGCAAGUCGAACGGAACUUCUUUAAAAGAUUUCUUCGGAAUGAAUUUGAUUAAGUUUAGUGGCGGACGGGUGAGUAACGCGUGAGUAACCUGCCUCUGAGAGGGGAAUAACAUUCUGAAAAGAAUGCUAAUACCGCAUAACAUAUAUUUAUCGCAUGGUAGAUAUAUCAAAGAUUUAUCGCUUAGAGAUGGACUCGCGUCCGAUUAGUUAGUUGGUGAGGUAACGGCUCACCAAGGCGACGAUCAGUAGCCGGCCUGAGAGGGUGAACGGCCACAUUGGGACUGAGACACGGCCCAAACUCCUACGGGAGGCAGCAGUGGGGAAUAUUGCACAAUGGGGGAAACCCUGAUGCAGCGACGCCGCGUGAGUGAUGAAGUAUUUCGGUAUGUAAAAACUCUAUCAGCAGGGAAGAUAAUGACGGUACCUGACUAAGAAGCACCGGCUAAAUACGUGCCAGCAGCCGACGG